UUAGGAAUAUUCGUCAAUGGGGGAAACCCUGAACGAGCAAUGCCGCGUGAAUGAUGAAGGCCCUUCGGGUCGUAAAAUUCUGUUGUUUGGAAAGAAAAGCAGGAAUAGGAAAUGAUUCCUGUCUGACGGUACCAUUCAAGAAAGCCACGGCUAACUACGUGCCAGCAGCCGCGGUAAUACGUAGGUGGCGAGCGUUAUCCGGAUUUAUUGGGCGUAAAGCGUGCGCAGGCGGCUUGUUAAGUAUAAGAUUAAAGCCCGAGGCUUAACCUCGGUUCGUUUUAUAAACUGGCAAGCUUGAGUAUGGUAGAGGCAAAUGGAAUUCCUAGUGUAGCGGUGGAAUGCGUAGAUAUUAGGAGGAACACCAGUGGCGAAGGCGAUUUGCUGGGCCAUUACUGACGCU
rnacentral:rRNA from 1 species